GCAUCCGUAGCUCAGUUGGAUAGAGCGUCGGUCUACGGAACCGAAAGUCGUAGGUUCGAAUCCUUCCGGAUGCG
rnacentral:tRNA from 1 species